CGAAUAUCAUCAAAGCCCACCCUGAGGAAUCAGGAUUUCUCCCAGUGAUAGAAGAACCUAUCUCCCAAUCUUCAACACUCUUUCUGAAGAGACCAAGUCAGACUUGAGAACCAACCUCUCCAACACUCUUUCCUGAGGAGACCAGCUCAGGUCAAAGGGUGCCCCCCAAUGAUGCUGGAACCCCUCUCCUCACUGCCUAAUUAAAAGCAAUUAUCACCAACACCAUUUACUGGGGAGGGAAGGUCAAGCCGCAUUUCUUUGCCCCAUUUUCUCGGGCAAUAGGAUGUCCCCAAUGACAUUAGAACUACUCUCUCCUCUUUCCAGUGAGGGCAGAGAUCUCACCAAC